rnacentral:lncRNA from 1 species
UAGUAGCCAACUAAGUGUGAAUGAUAGCUUAUUUUUAAGAGAGACUAAUUUCUCUUUACUUCAUGAUGAUAAUGUACAAAUUUAGAGUGAGGAUACACUAGUUGAUCCUAAUAAUGACAAAAUUAACUCUUCUAGCAAGAUCGAUUUGUGUCCACCUAGUGUUGAAGCCAUUGUGACGAGUGAUAGUACAUUGUCUUAUGGAACUCAUGAGGACCAACUUUUGUGUGAAC